rnacentral:lncRNA from 1 species
UUUGAAAUAAAGAAGUCAAAUAACAGCCUUGUUCUGGCUGUUUAAGAAUGUAUUCCCUGCUUACUCUCAGCCAUGGGCAUGGCAGCAGUUGAGCAAGUGGUGACCUACAGGCAGCACCAGGAUGGUUCCAGCAGUGACAUGCUCUUCAUCCCUGCCACAGCUGGGUGAUGGAUUGCAAGGUGCUGCCGGGGAAGGAGAGCUGAAACCAGCUCCUGUGUGCUGUGCCACUUCGUUCUUUUUAAGUGCUUUACAGCAAAACAUAGCUUGGACCAACUUGUACAAAUGCAAAGAAAGAGCAGCCAAAAUGUCGCGCCGAGGCAGCUGUGCUGUACAGACGUGCUGCAGACAGAUGUGGCAGCUUUUCACCUGAAUAUUAAACAAGGAGUGGAAGGCAGUCCAAGCCUCUGAAAAUUAAAGGUCUAAAUCCAUUUAAAUUUACAAACUCUGUAAAUAAAUAAUAAACCAGAACACUGCAGCUCCUGCUCUAAAUGCAUUCUGCCUUGCUGUGAUGUUGAAGCACUCCUGUAUUUCUCUGCGUGUCCCAGAAGCUCUGGUUUACUUCAUUCCUUCAUUUCCUUCAAAUUUCCUUCACAUUUCCUUCAAAUGCACCCACCUCUGGUCACUGCAGGGCCCACAUGAGCACAAUAUUCAGUGCAAACAGCACCCAGUGUUUGAUGUUUGGUGAUCUCGUACCGGCCCUGGAGAACGUGCUCCUGAGCAUGAGCUGCUCUCCAAGGCUUGUGCAAUGCAGCAGAACCCCUGUCUGUCGUGACUAAUUGAGCCCCGAUG